rnacentral:rRNA from 1 species
CAACGCGACCCNAGUCAGGCG